rnacentral:rRNA from 1 species
ACUACGGGAGGCAGCAGUGAGGAAUAUUGGUCAAUGGCCGAGAGGCUGAACCAGCCAAGUCGCGUGAGGGAAGACGGCCCUACGGGUUGUAAACCUCUUUUGUCGGGGAGUAAAGCGAACCACGUGUGGCUUAUUGAGAGUACCCGAAGAAAAAGCAUCGGCUAACUCCGUGCCAGCAGCCGCGGUAAUACGGAGGAUUCGAGCGUUAUCCGGAUUUAUUGGGUUUAAAGGGAGCGUAGGCUGUUGGGUAAGUUAGAGGUCAAAUGUUGGGGCUUAACCCCGUGCCUGCAUCUGAUACUGGUCGACUAGAGAGCGGAUGCAGCAGGCGGAAUGAGUAGUGUAGCGGUGAAAUGCUUAGAUAUUACGCAGAACACCGAUUGCGCAGGCAGCUUGCUAAUCCGCAUCUGACGCUGAUGCACGAAAGCGUGGGUAGCGAACAGGAUUAGAUACCCGGGUAGUC